rnacentral:tRNA from 1 species
GCGCUAGUGGUCAAGUGGUUACGAUCCCGUCCUCCCAAGACGGUGGCCCGAGUUCGAAUCUCGGCUGGCGCA